CGCUUCUCCCGUCUGAGGGAAAAAACGGGAGAA
rnacentral:tRNA from 1 species